rnacentral:tRNA from 1 species
GGCGACGUGGCCAAGUGGUAAGGCACUGGUCUGCAAAACCAUGAUUCAGCGGUUCAAAUCCGCUCGUCGCCUCCA